rnacentral:rRNA from 1 species
UUGGAGGGCAAGUCUGGUGCCAGCAGCCGCGGUAAUUCCAGCUCCAAUAGCGUAUAUUAAAGUUGUUGCAGUUAAAAAGCUCGUAGUUGAAUUUCGGGGUUAGUAGGUUGGUCAUGCCUCUGGUAUGUACUGGUCUCACUGAUUCCUCCUUCCUGAUGAACCGUAAUGCCAUUAAUUUGGUGUUGCGGGGAAUUUGGACUGUUACUUUGAAAAAAUUAGAGUGUUUAAAGCAAGCUAACGCUUGAAUACAUUAGCAUGGAAUAAUGAAAUAGGACGUUCGAUCCUAUUUUGUUGGUUUCUAGGAUUGACGUAAUGAUUAAUAGGGAUAGUUGGGGGCAUUAGUACUCAAUUGUCAGAGGUGAAAUUCUUGGAUUUAUUGAAGACUAACUACUGCGAAAGCAUUUGCCAAGGAUGUUUUCAUUAAUCAAGAACGAAAGUUAGGGGAUCGAAGACGAUCAGAUACCGUCGUAGUCUUAACCAUAAACUAUGCCGACUAGGGAUCGGAUGAUGUUAAUUUUUUAAUGACUCAUUCGGCGCCUUACGGGAAAC